rnacentral:rRNA from 1 species
UAGGGAAUCUUCCGCAAUGGGCGCAAGCCUGAUGGAGCAACACCGCGUGAGUGAAGAAGGGUUUCGGCUCGUAAAGCUCUGUUGUUAAAGAAGAACACGUAUGAGAGUAACUGUUCAUACGUUGACGGUAUUUAACCAGAAAGUCACGGCUAACUACGUGCCAA